rnacentral:rRNA from 1 species
UACAGAGGGGGCGAGCGUUGUUCGGAAUUACUGGGCGUAAAGGGCGCGUAGGCGGCCUUCUAAGUCGGACGUGAAAUCCCUCGGCUCAACCGAGGAACUGCGUCUGAUACUGGAUGGCUUGGAUUCGGGAGAGGAAUGCGGAAUUCCAGGUGUAGCGGUGAAAUGCGUAGAUAUCUGGAGGAACACCGGUGGCGAAGGCGGCAUUCUGGACCGAUAUUGACGCUGAAGCACGAAAGCGUGGGGAGCAAACAGG